CGGCCAGGCCGCGUGGGGAGGCUCGGGCCGGCUGGAGGCACCGUCCCCAGCCUGCGGUGGCUCCCUCUCCUCCUUCCCUCUCCCGCACCAGUUCUCUGGACCUACAUCCUGAAGGACCUGCUAUGUUAGUCUGGAUCCUCCAAGUGGCAGACACCAAGAGGAAGAAGUGAAAGUGAGGAAGGAGCUGGCAGGCUGUGAGAGCCCUCAGACCGGGGAUGCAGGUCUGAUUCCAGGUGGAAGAGAGCGAGAAGGAAGAAAGGCUAGUCUUGGAACAUGUAUGCGGUGGGCGAGAGGAAGUGAGAAAUAAUUCCUUUACUGCUAUGAUUAAAAUAAAUAAGAAGAGAAAUAGAGCAGGAAGCUCAAUAAAAAGGAAAGAUGAGCGGCAAAACCAGUGCUCCACGUGUGAAUUGAAGUCUAACAAUAUAUCCCCGAAAGAUCAAGUAUUCUGGACUCUGUGUGAGUGCGUUUAAAGGUUUAAGAUAAUACUAAGUUUUAAAAGUGCCCUAUACACAGCAGCCUUUACAAACAAGGUCAUAACGCAUUUUUUAAGAUUGGAAAAUUUUGCAAAGAAAAUACACACAUCUCAUUACAAUUUAUAUCACAAAAGAAAAAAAACAAUUCACAUCAUUUUGAAGUUUUUGGACUGAUUCCUGGAACCAUUUGUAAUAAGUUGAUCUGGUAUCAUAUACCCUACGCAAGGCAUUCCCCUUAAAUUACUAUUCCCAUAAGCAAUUACAAGACUGUUUAUUCCAUCUCUUUAUCUUAAAUCCAAAGGUGAGAAAGGCUAAGCAAUGACUUUUGUGAUGUGUGGCUUCCUUGAAGUUAAUAAUUAAUACUUGGGAUGUUAUCAAAGGGAACAUAAUAUCAAUUGCAAAAAUAUGGUUUUAAUUCCAGCUAAUUUUAAAGGUCAUUAGGCAAAGUAUAAAACAUUAGGCAGAAGUUUUACUUUGUCAAAUAUUUAGCUAAAAUUGGCCUCAGAAAUUCAUUUUUCCACAUAUAUAUUUUAUAUUGCUACUUUCUAUGGAAGAAGUUAUAUAUAUGCAUAUAAUACAAUAGAUAUCAUUUAAAAUAGAUCUUAUUUUCAAAUUCACAUUGACGUUGGCAGAUUUACAAAGUGUGUAAGCACUAUGGAAAUUGAUUUUGCACAGAAGUGACAGCAGUUGGUUCUGUGACGAUUACCAAAUCAAAAGAUGUUAGUGAGCUGGCUACUGAGAAUCUUUGGUGUAAUUUAUCAAAUUCAAAACCAAAUCUUUUAUGUUUACCUCCAAUACUUAAAAUGCUGAAGACUAACGGAUAAAAUAGGUUUAUACUGUAUUUGAAUUAUAAAUGGGAACUAAGUAAAAAUCAAAUGAACUGGUAAAAUGUAUUAAAAAUGACCUAAGACUAGUCUUAUAAGAACAGGUGAAUAAUUUUCAUCUGAAAUAGCAAUUCUUGACGAUAAGGAAUUUAAGAUCCAGAUAAAAUCGCCUAUCACAGACGCCCUUCUUCGUGGAGAGGGACUGAGGCUAAGAGCUGGGCUCUGCCACUCACCAGCAGACCUUGGGCAAGGCGUUUAACCUUUCUGUGCCAGUGUCCUUCUUUGUAAAACAGGUGUGGGGAGAGAAGGUCAUUGUGAGGAUUAAAUACGCUGAUGCAUGUAAGACACUUAGAACAAUGCCUGGCACAAAGUAGGUGCUAUCUAUAAAAGUUAGUUUAUCAUUAUUUGAUAAUUGUACAUACCUAAGGUGUUGGUGAUGACUCAGUGACUAUGUAGGAAUCAACGAUUUGCUGGAAUAUACACUUAAAAUUAUGAAAGUAAGGGGAAAUAAUUUUUCCAGGCCAUAAAAAGACAUACUGAAAACUGGGGGAUAUAUACCCACAAAUUUCCCCUUAGUCUUAAGACUUUGAAAAGUGUGCUGAAUGUAGGGCUAACUUCCUAAACAGCAAAUUAGCAAGUAAGUGUUUAUUUGGAAAAAACAAGAUUAAACAGCCAUAUGAAGAGAGUCAGUUUAUUGGCAAAAACCUGUUACAGAAAGAGACAAAGCACCCAAAAGUCAUUUGACUUAAUUUGUAUCUUUUAUGCAACUGAACUAUGAACACAUUUCCAUAUUAUAGCCUGACUUACUUUCCUCUUUGAGAGGCACAAUUUUCCUU